rnacentral:misc_RNA from 1 species
UGUGCAAUGUUGCUGCAGGAAAUGGAAUUCAGAGUUCUGCCGGAGCAGAGGUGGCGGCUCCACGUCGGAGAUGCUGAUCUCCGGCACCGACCGUGAUAUAUCAUCCAUAGAGAAUGGUAUGCUAGAGUCAUCAUCCAACAAGAAUGAAUUGUUAGGCAUGCUCACAGAAUCAUCACUCAUCAUGGUUCUCAUCUUUGCAAUCACAUCCUGAGAUAAACCCUGUGUCCCGUAUUUGUCGUCCCAAAACAUGGUUCCG